rnacentral:rRNA from 1 species
AGAGUUUGAUCAUGGCUCAGAUUGAACGCUGGCGGCAUGCCUUACACAUGCAAGUCGGACGGUAACGGGUUAAGCCGACGAGUGGCGAACAGGUGAGUAAUAUAUCGGAACGUGCCCAGUCGUGGGGGAUAACGUAGAGAAAUUUACGCUAAUACCGCAUACGAUCUACGGAUGAAAGCGGGGGACCUUCGGGCCUCGCGCGAUUGGAGCGGCUGAUAUCAGAUUAGGUUGUUGGUGAGGUAAAAGCUCACCAAGCCGACGAUCUGUAGCUGGUUUGAGAGAACGACCAGCCACACUGGGACUGAGACACGGCCCAGACUCCUACGGGAGGCAGCAGUGGGGAAUUUUGGACAAUGGGCGAAAGCCUGAUCCAGCAAUGCCGCGUGCAGGAAGAAGGCCUUCGGGUUGUAAACUGCUUUUGUACGGAACGAAAAGGUCUGCCCUAAUACGGCGGGCUCAUGACGGUACCGUAAGAAUAAGCACCGGCUAACUACGUGCCAGCAGCCGCGGUAAUA